GACGAACGCUGGCGGCAGGCCUAACACAUGCAAGUCGAGCGAAGCCUUCGGGCUUAGCGGCGGACGGGUGAGUAACGCGUGGGAACGUGCCCUUUGGUACGGAAUAGCCCCGGGAAACUGGGAGUAAUACCGUAUGUGGUCGAGAGACGAAAGAUUUAUCGCCAAAGGAUCGGCCCGCGUUGGAUUAGGUAGUUGGUGGGGUAAUGGCCUACCAAGCCGACGAUCCAUAGCUGGUUUGAGAGGAUGAUCAGCCACACUGGGACUGAGACACGGCUCAGACUCCUACGGGAGGCAGCAGUGGGGAAUCUUAGACAAUGGGGGAAACCCUGAUCUAGCCAUGCCGCGUGAUCGAUGAAGGCCUUAGGGUUGUAAAGAUCUUUCAGUGGGGAAGAUAAUGACUGUACCCACAGAAGAAGCCCCGGCUAACUCCGUGCCAGCCGCCGCGGUAACAC
rnacentral:rRNA from 1 species